AAAUCCGGUUCACUUUAACACUGAGGCGUGACGACGAGGCACUACGGUGCUGAAGCAACAAAUGCCCUGCUUCCAGGAAAAGCCUCUAAGCAUCAGGUAACAUCAAAUCGUACCCCAAACCGACACAGGUGGUCAGGUAGAGAAUACCAAGGCGCUUGAGAGAACUCGGGUGAAGGAACUAGGCAAAAUGGUGCCGUAACUUCGGGAGAAGGCACGCUGACACGUAGGUGAAGUGAUUUACUCAUGGAGCUGAAGUCAGUCGAAGAUACCAGCUGGCUGCAACUGUUUAUUAAAAACACAGCACUGUGCAAACACGAAAGUGGACGUAUACGGUGUGACGCCUGCCCGGUGCCGGAAGGUUAAUUGAUGGGGUCAGCGCAAGCGAAGCUCCUGAUCGAAGCCCCGGUAAACGGCGGCCGUAACUAUAACGGUCCUAAGGUAGCGAAAUUCCUUGUCGGGUAAGUUCCGACCUGCACGAAUGGCGUAAUGAUGGCCAGGCUGUCUCCACCCGAGACUCAGUGAAAUUGAACUCGCUGUGAAGAUGCAGUGUACCCGCGGCAAGACGGAAAGACCCCGUGAACCUUUACUAUAGCUUGACACUGAACAUUGAGCCUUGAUGUGUAGGAUAGGUGGGAGGCUUUGAAGUGUGGACGCCAGUCUGCAUGGAGCCGACCUUGAAAUACCACCCUUUAAUGUUUGAUGUUCUAACGUGGACCCGUUACCCGGGUUGCGGACAGUGUCUGGUGGGUAGUUUGACUGGGGCGGUCUCCUCCUAAAGAGUAACGGAGGAGCACGAAGGUUGGCUAAUCCUGGUCGGACAUCAGGAGGUUAGUGCAAUGGCAUAAGCCAGCUUGACUGCGAGCGUGACGGCGCGAGCAGGUGCGAAAGCAGGUCAUAGUGAUCCGGUGGUUCUGAAUGGAAGGGCCAUCGCUCAACGGAUAAAAGGUACUCCGGGGAUAACAGGCUGAUACCGCCCAAGAGUUCAUAUCGACGGCGGUGUUUGGCACCUCGAUGUCGGCUCAUCACAUCCUGGGGCUGAAGUAGGUCCCAAGGGUAUGGCUGUUCGCCAUUUAAAGUGGUACGCGAGCUGGGUUUAGAACGUCGUGAGACAGUUCGGUCCCUAUCUGCCGUGGGCGCUGGAGAACUGAGGGGGGCUGCUCCUAGUACGAGAGGACCGGAGUGGACGCAUCACUGGUGUUCGGGUUGUCAUGCCAAUGGCACUGCCCGGUAGCUAAAUGCGGAAGAGAUAAGUGCUGAAAGCAUCUAAGCACGAAACUUGCCCCGAGAUGAGUUCUCCCUGAGACUUAGAGUCUCCUGAAGGAACGUUGAAGACGACGACGUUGAUAGGCCG
rnacentral:rRNA from 1 species